ensembl:misc_RNA Metazoa_SRP Metazoan signal recognition particle RNA
GCCGGGCGUGGUGGCUCACGCCUGUAAUCCCAGCACUUUUGGAGGCUGAGGCAGGCGGAUCACCUGAGGUCAGGAGUUCAAGAACAUCCUGACCAACACGGUGAAACCCCGUCUCUA